CAGAGGGUGCAAACGUUGUUCGGAAUUACUGGGCGUAAAGCACGUGUAGGCGGCUUGGCAGGUCGGAUGUGAAAUCCCAGGGCUCAACCCUGGAAGGGCAUUCGAAACCGCUUCGCUAGAGUUCUGGAGAGGAAGGUGGAAUGCUUGGUGUAGAGGUGAAAUUCGUAGAUAUCAAGCGGAACACCGGUGGCGAAGGCGGCCUUCUGGACAGAAACUGACGCUGAGACGCGAAAGCGUGGGGAGCAAACAGGAUUAGAUACCCUGGUAGUCCACGCCGUAAACGAUGAGUGCUAGAUGUCAGGAGCUUUGACCCUCUUGGCGUCGUAGCUAACGCGAUAAGCACUCCGCCUGGGGAGUACGGCCGCAAGGCUA
rnacentral:rRNA from 1 species